AUCAUCCUCCAUGCUUUCAAAGGUAUCCUCCAGCAUCUCCUCGAUGAUACCAGCCUGUGGGACAUACACAGCACCAAAAGAGGACCUGAGCCCGAGGACCAUGCCCCAGGACUACCUGACAUGAUGACUCCUUGCUGUCCCCAGUCCACCUGGCCGUGCUGCUGCUCCAGUUUCAACUGUUCUGCCUUAUUAUUAUUCGACCAUGCUGGUCAUUUAUGAACAUUUGAACAUCUUGGCCAUGUUCUGUUAUAAUCUCCACCCGGCACAGCCAGAAGAGGACUGGCCACCCCACAUAGCCUGGUUCCUCUCUGGUUUCUUCCUAGGUUUUGGCCUUGCUAGGGAGUUUUUCCUAGCCACCGUGCUUCUACACCUGCAUUGCUUGCUGUUUGGGGUUUUAGGCUGAGUUUCUGUACACCACUUUGAGAUAUCAGCUGAUGUGCGAAGGGCUAUAUAAAUAAAUUUGAUUUGAUUUUGA